UAACCCUCGCAAGGGACUUCAUUUUCCCGAGCGGACGUGGAGCUCGCCGGUCCUUUUCGAGGAUCGGCCUCUCCGAAAUGCAUUAGCUGGCACGCUGCCGGCGCGUGGUGUUGAUAAUUGUCUACGCCUGGUCGUCUGCGAGCGCGUCGCUUCCAAUCGUCCUUUAGUCGGACAACCGAACUCAAA
rnacentral:misc_RNA from 1 species